GACAGAGGGUGCAAACGUUGUUCGGAAUUACUGGGCGUAAAGCGCGUGUAGGCUGCCCCGCAAGUCGGAUGUGAAAGCCCUGGGCUCAACCUAGGAAGUGCAUUCGAAACUGCGGGGCUGGAGUCCUGGAGAGGAAGGCGGAAUUCUCGGUGUAGAGGUGAAAUUCGUAGAUAUCGAGAGGAACACCGGUGGCGAAGGCGGCGACCUGGGUAGAUACUGACGCUGAGGUGCGAAAGCGUGGGGAGCAAACAGG
rnacentral:rRNA from 1 species